UGACAUGACUUACACUGAAGAAAUCCAAAUGAGUUUCCCACUUGAAAAUCCUGAUGAGGACUCAGAAACAUUCACAGCCACAGAAGUUGUAGAUAUAACAGGCAUAGAAGAUGAAGCUAUAACGGGCACAGAAGGGACAUUUAACAUCUUGAUAAAAAGACUGCAAUCCAAUUGGCAAGCUAUUUUAAUCGGGAUUUUGAUAGUGCUUUUGUGUGGCGUGACCAGUGCCCUCUUCAAUAAACAGCAAUUUCUGAUUGCAAAA